UUUUAAGCCACACUUUUCUCUCUCUCUCUCUUUCUCUCUCUCCCUCUCUCUCUGGUUGAACAGCAGAUUAAACACAUCACUGAGGAGGAACAAGCUUCAUAGUGGUUAGAGAAACGGGCUCAAAUCGACCAUAUAGCUCAAAGAUUGAGGGAUUUCAUUGAGCGAUUGUUUCAUUUUUUCCUUCAAUUAGUUACCAAUCAGACGUAAUAAAGGUUUUCAAUUGAAUGUAGGCACAAGGAAAGGUGUAGCUCAGUGGUUACGGUGAUCAGAAGGUUGUGAGCUGGAAUCCCAGGUCCCUUGAGUAAAGCUCAGUCGCUCAGUUCUGGAUCUGGACGUCUGCUAAAUGCCGUAAAUGGAGUAAGAUACUGUAUAAAGUUCACAGGAUGAACAAAACCUGACUAACAUGAUCAUGAAGUGCUUCAUAGAACCAACAAAAUUUGUCUGAAAAGUUGACUCCAGUUUCCGUGGAUCUCAGUCUAAUUGAGUCUCUGCUCCAUAGAGGCUCCACCUCCCGUAUUUACAGAACAUAAAGGAUCUUCUGCUAGCUUCCUGGUUCCAGAUACCACAGAACCCCUUUCAGAGGUCUUGUGGAGUCCAUGCCUCGAGGCACAAGAUGGAGCUACACAAUAUUAGGAUUACUUUAAUCAUCUUAACCUCGGUGCUGAAAACUCAUUACACUCGGAAGCGGCGCAGGAGCGAGGGCUCGAGGGAAUAAUGGGUAUCAGUGAGGAUCUGUCUCCGUCAAUACAGGAGCAAGCCUUCAUCAUCUGAUGAAGAUCAGGAGGCAUGUGAUGAGACACCAUGUCUCAGAUCUACAAUUUUACACCACAGAGGUUCAGGAAGCGAUUCGGCCCCGCUGAGGGAAACGACGGAUCCAUAAUCCUCUCGGAGAAGCCGAAUGUCACCGUCAAUCAGCGAGAGGAGGAAUAUAAAGAGGGAAGGAAAAUAAAAGAGAGAAUAAAGAGCAAAAAACAUUAAACUCACUGAAGGUGGAGAUUUUGCAUUUUCAGCGCUUUUGGAUAAAACGCUGGAGUUUGAAGAGUUUCUUUUUUUGUUGUUUGUGUCUUGUUAUUUAUUUAUUUAUUUAUCUAUUUUUUUUUUUUAUCUACCCAGGCUUUUCAAUUUCACGCCUUUAAAGGACUGAGCCUGGGAAGAUUUGGUGGUUCCCAAGACACCUCAUGAAGCAGAGGAAAUUAUUCCAAGGGAUUUAGUCGAUAGCGUUUGUCUUUUAGUCGAUGGUGUUUGUCUGGGUUUGGAAAGCUGAAUCUGCACUCCCCCCAGUUCUCUGCGUCAUAAGACUGACCUAACCAUGUUAUAAGCACAUCAUUUAAGUGUGUAUUAUGUUGUAACGUGUUGCUAUGACAACUUAGAUUUACCGCUACCAUGCUAGCAAUUCAGUGAUAUCUAAUUUACAUACAGUAUUUACAUCAUAUUGAUAUGUCACUGGAAAUCACAUAUGAGAUGUUUAUGACAAGCUUAUGAUGCAAAGUUUGUGGCAUCAAACAUUGUUAAUGACAUAAUAAUGACUU